UUGGAACCAGUCGACAAAUUUUACACGACGGAUCGACUUGGAGUAGCGCACACGCACACAUUUCUACCUACUCUACUUUUCUGCAAGAAUCGUGAGAUUGUGAAAACUGAAAUCCAUCGGCGGAAUCUGAAAAUUAUUCUGUGAAAGAAAAAAAAUUGCAAAGAUGGCACUCAGCGACGCAGAUGUACAAAAACAGAUCAAGCAUAUGAUGGCUUUCAUUGAGCAGGAAGCCAAUGAAAAAGCUGAAGAAAUUGAUGCUAAAGCAGAGGAAGAAUUUAACAUUGAGAAGGGACGUCUUGUGCAACAACAACGCCUUAAGAUUAUGGAAUACUAUGAAAAGAAGGAGAAACAAGUUGAACUGCAAAAGAAGAUUCAAUCAUCGAAUAUGCUGAAUCAAGCUCGUUUGAAGGUACUGAAAGUGCGUGAAGAUCAUGUGCGCAAUGUGUUAGAUGAAGCACGUCGUCGCCUUGGUGAAGUUACCAAGAAUCCCAGUGAAUACAAAGAGGUAUUGCAGAAACUUAUCUUGCAAGCGCUGUACCAGGCCAUGGAGCCGAGUGUCACCCUACGCUGCCGUCAGGCCGAUAUUGGUCUAAUAAAUGAAGUGCUGCCCGCCACUGUUGAAGAAUAUAAGCAACAAAUUGGCAAAGAUGUAAAUGUACAUAUUGAUACGGAUAAUCAUCUUUCGGCAGACACCUGCGGUGGAAUCGAGUUGAUUGCGCUUAAUGGACGUCUAAAGGUGCCCAACACCCUGGAGUCCAGAUUAGAAUUGAUUGCGCAACAACUUGUGCCAGAAAUUCGUAACGCUUUGUUCGGUCGCAAUGUCAAUCGUAAAUUCACCGAUUAAAUAUUUUAAGUGUAAACACUAUGCAACAAACAAAACCAACAGACAUACAUAUAUAGUUAAACGAUGAAAAGAAGAAAUUAAACACUAAAAGAAAAGCUAAAAGAGUCAAAUUUUACAGCGAAUGGAAGAAAUAUUGAAAUGAGAUGAUAAUGUAAUGUGGAAUGAAAACAGUGUUUGAUAUAAAAAAAGACUCCCUAGUGAGUCCUCUUGGAAUCGAAAGAAGAGAAGACAAACCGAAUGACCUCCUAACAAUUAUUGUGAAUAUAAUUUAGAAAUCAAACUGAAAGUGCUAGUACACUUCAUAAUAAUAAUCCAUUCAAAGAUUUGCUGCCGUUGCAAAGUAUACAAAUGAUUUGUUUAUGCAUAUAUAAUAACAAGUACACUACAACUUGUGCUGUUUAAUUAAAUCUACGUUAGCGAACUUCUAUAUGGAUGUAUGCAUUGCUAUUUAAAACACAAUAACUAAAAACUAAAAAAAAA
rnacentral:misc_RNA from 1 species